GGGGGGGGGGGGGGGGGGGGCGGGGGGGGGGGGGGGGGGGGGGUGGGGGGGGCGUGGGGCUGGGUGGGGCGGCGGACGGGGGGGUGAGGCCUGGGGAGCUGCCUGGGAGUGGGGGAUAACGUCCGGAAACGGGCGCUAAUACCGCAUACGUCCUGAGGGAGAAAGUGGGGGAUCGUCGGACCUCACGCUAUCAGAUGAGCCUAGGUCGGAUUAGCUAGUUGGUGGGGUAAAGGCCUACCAAGGCGACGAUCCGUAACUGGUCUGAGAGGAUGAUCAGUCACACUGGAGCUGAGACACGGUCCAGACUCCUACGGGAGGCAGCAGUGGGGAAUAUUGGACAAUGGGCGAAAGCCUGAUCCAGCCAUGCCGCGUGUGUGAAGAAGGUCUUCGGAUUGUAAAGCACUUUAAGUUGGGAGGAAGGGCAGUAAGUUAAUACCUUGCUGUUUUGACGUUACCAACAGAACAAGCACCGGCUAACUUCGUG
rnacentral:rRNA from 1 species